rnacentral:tRNA from 1 species
UGGGAUAUAGCUCAGUUGGUAGAGUAUCUGCCUUGCAUGCCCAAGGCCCUGGGUUCAAUCCCCAGUCUUCCCC